rnacentral:rRNA from 1 species
UACGGAGGGGGCUAGCGUUGUUCGGAAUUACUGGGCGUAAAGCGCACGUAGGCGGACUGGAAAGUCAGAGGUGAAAUCCCAGGGCUCAACCUUGGAACUGCCUUUGAAACUCCUGGUCUUGAGGUCGAGAGAGGUGAGUGGAAUUCCGAGCGUAGAGGUGAAAUUCGUAGAUAUUCGGAGGAACACCAGUGGCGAAGGCGGCUCACUGGCUCGAUACUGACGCUGAGGUGCGAAAGCGUGGGGAGCAAACAGG